AUGUGGUACGGCCGUCCGCUUGAUCCUGCACCUGGGCUCCGCUCACCUGCACAUCUCCUGUUGGGACUUUGCUUUGUGCUGGUGAACUGGCCAGUAUUUGCAGAGAACCUAGUUAUCAGCCCAGCUGCCGUCUUCCCUCUGCUCGUCUGCAGGAGCUUUCUACCUCCUAGACAUACGUAUGUAUCAGAACAUUCCACCGGAGAGCUCCGAACUCUCACCAAGCGAACAGUCGAGCGUCACCGAAAUUGGGCAACGACGUUGCCAGUGCCAAGAAGCCUGCUUGCCCUUCUGGCUAGCUCCACUCUCCCCCGCACAUAACUGGUAGCCUGGUCUGUGUGACCAUAGAUGACUUUGCUUAUUGUCAAACUAUAUAAGCACGGAAUUAAGCAGUAUGUAUCCUUUUGUAUCGGAUUUCGAUCUUAAUGCUGUGAGCUGCUGCAUGCAGCCGCGUUUUUCAGUGCUGUAGUGUUUGUGCCACAAUUUAUCCCUUCUACUCUUCAUUAAAACACUUGGCUUUCCAUUUGGGAUUAAUGUUUAGUGCUGUAAUGAAUUUUUAUACCUGUCUUGGGGAGACGCACAUACUUGUUUCUGUUGAGUAGAUUCCUGGGGAUGGAAUUCGGCGUUCUGCCAUAUGUGUCUGGCGAGUUUCAGGAGGUGCUGCCCCACGGUUUCCCGAAAUGGUUGCAUCAGUUGCAGCAUGUGAAAAUUGCACUUACUCCUCACGUUGCCAACGGUAGAUAGCAUCAGUCUUUUUCCUUUUAACUGUUCUGGUAUCUUUCCUAAGUUUUAACCCUUGUAGUCUUUUCGGCACAAUAGCCAGAGUGACUUUUUUAAUUUUUAAUUUAAUUUACUGCUCCGUAGGUAAUUUUUAGGCGUGAUACAUAAUUCAAAGAUGCAAAAAGAUACACAGUAAAAACCGUUCCUCCCACUCUCUCCUAGCCAUCUAGUUCCCAUCUCAAGAGGCGCCUGUAGUGUUACUGGUGCCCUGUAUUUUUCCAGAGACACGCACUUACAUAUCGUUUAUUCUUCCUUUUCCCUAGAAACGAUAGCAUGUUGCGUACCCUGUACCGCACCUUUCUUUAUUCACUGCAAAAAAAUCUUAGAGAUUAUUCUGUAACCGUUGCAUUAUUUUUUAAAAAACACCUACUAACAUGUAGCCUGAAAAUGCCUCAAUAACUUCCCAUUGCACUUAGCAUAAACUCCCAAGAGCUUUGCAGUCUCUUUACAGCUCUGCACAACCAGGCGCCUACCUGCCCGUCCAGCCUCUCUCCACCCCCCUCUCUCUGUUAGCAAGCUCCAGUCACCCCUGCUACCUUUCAUUUCCUUUAUUCACUGAGCCCUCCCACCUCAGGGCCCUUGCAUAUGGCUUCUUGACCUAGAAGGCUCUUCUGCCACUGCCUACCUGGCUGUUUCCAUCGGCCAGUCAUUGUUCUCAGAAGUCUCUGACGGCGCCUCAGCCCUACGCACCUACGUGUAAUUUAACUGUCCCUCAGUUGUGGUUUCAUUAUCCCUGUAUUUUUCUUUAUGAUCCUUGAGACGCUAGGCACGUAUUUAUGUGAUUAUUUGCUUAAUGAUAUUCUAGAUUAUAAAUUCCACAGGGAUAGGGAUUUUGUCUCUUGUUUAGCACUCGUGGCCUGGUGUCAGGUGCUUAAUUAACAGUUGUUGGGUGAAUAAAUGGGUUUAUGUGAGGCA
rnacentral:lncRNA from 1 species